GUUUAAACCCGAUUGUAGUGGAAAUACUUUUUGGUGUACUGUCAUCCUGAGCUUGUCGAAGGAUUUAUAUUUGCAAGCGCUUCGAUAAACCAAGCAUGACGACAUUUAUUAGAAGUAACAUUCACAAAAAGAUUGAAAUGAAAAGCGGGGCUAUCG
rnacentral:sRNA from 1 species